CAUCUGUUUGACUUACAUAUUGCCAUUUGUCAUUCACGUAUCUGUAGUCACAUUUGGUAAGCUGGCAUCUAGUUCAGUUAUAUUUAUAUUCCCCUCAGUUCUUUGGAUACUACAACUACGGAACUCAGGUAUUGGACAACUUGAAACAACUAAAUCUGAUCAUCUAACUAGCCAUUCAUCAACGUCAUAGGCCAUGACACUUGGAUUGAAUUGCCAGACACCAGUUGGUUCAGUCCAAUAUUGCAAGUGUUUAUUGGGCUUUUUCAUUGUUUUAGGUACUAGGGAUAUUUGGUAACCACCCUCCAAUGGUUCCUGACUCCUGGUGUUCACACCUUAUAUAAUCCACUCUUAGGACCCAUUUGUGUGACCAGUAGAGUGUAACAGGCAGCUUCUUUUUGGGUCACACUCUCUCUCUCUCUUUUUUUUUUUUGUUUUCUUAGUUUUCUCACUCUGAAGAAGCCAUGUGGUGAGCAGCCAUAGAGUGGGGUAUGUGUAGAAAUGGACAGAUGCCUCUUUUCAACAAUCACAGUAAGUGAGCUUGGAAGCAGAUCUUAUAAUCCCCAUGAAGUCCUCAAAGGUUGUAGUCCUAAAUGCUAGCAUACUACAGCCUCAUGAGAAACCUUGAACUAGAAGAGUUACUCCCAGUUUUCAAACCAUCAGAAACUGAGAAAUAACUGUAGUUUUAGAUGCUAAGUUUUGGGGUAAUUUAAUAUACCCCUGAGAAUCUUAUGAUUUGGUCACACAAACAUUGAUCAUUUGACUGUUUCCUAAAGAGGAAUGUCUCCAAUUUGAAUAUUAUCUGGUAAACAAGAUGUACAAUGACUGAAGAAGUCAUGUGUUUGAAGGUCACCUGUGUUAAAAAAAUGGAAGUAGAUCUAUAUGCACUCUCAUGAAAAAACUUCUGGGACAUAUUGAGUGAAAAAAAAAAGUUUUAUAAUAUGAUCUUAGUUAAGUAUCUUCAGUUUUCCACGUUGUCAAUGAAAGAAAAAUUCACCAGGGCUGGAACAUCUGACAGGCCAAUUCAUAAUCUCCAAAUCACUUUCACAUUGAGUAAUUUUCACUAACUUACCAUUGCCAAUCCUUGAAAUUUUCAGGUUUAUUUAUACCUUCAAACUCAACAUUUACAAAUUAAUGCACCUGUUUAACACUGUUAAAAAUCAUUUUUAGGCAAAACAAUUAUUUUAGGAAUUAUAGGAAGUAAUAAUAUGGUUAAUUAAUAAAUGACAUAAUGUAGUCAUACCAAACAUGACAACAUUCCUUUUUCCCGACCACACCCACAGGCUGAUUUCUAUCACCAUAGAAAUUAGGAAAUGGAAUCAUAUUUUUGAGGUUUAUGCAGAUUGUAUUAGUAAUUUAUUUUCAUCAUGAAGUGAUAUUCCAUUGUUUGACUAUAUGAUAAUUUUCUUCUUCACUCACUUUUGGGUAACAUUUAGAUUGUUUCCACUUGUUGGCUAUCGUAACUAUGACUACUAUAAAUAUCAUUACGUAAGCAUUUUGUGGGCAUAUGAUUUUAUUUCUGUUUUGCUAGAUCACAGGGUAGAUGUAUGUUGAACUUUAAAGGAACUACAAAACAAUUUUCCUCAAUGUUUGAGCCAUUUCACAGCCUCACCAGAAAUGCAGGAGAGUUCCUGUUGCUUUACAUCUUCAUUAACGUGCUGGUGUUAGUGUAUUUAAUUUUAGCCUGUAUACAACAGUAUCUUAUGACAACUAAUGAUAUUGAGCAUCUUUUCUUGUGUAUCAAUUUUAUAUCUGAAAAAUGAUGAUCUAAGCCUUGUGAACUUAACUGUGAAAGUUUGCAGUUUUUUACAGGUGUCUUCUAGUUAUUCCUUCCAUAUGCAGAUGGUACCUCACAGAUUUCCUUAAACAAGUUUAUCAAUGUGAGUCAAACUUUCCCCCUGGUGCUCAGCCUCCUCCUUCACUUCAAGACUCCUUAAAUCCCCUGUAUGAGUCCUGUGCCUAUAAAUGGGGCAGGUAGGUGGGCGUGGGAGGGUGGGGUGUGAGUGCAUCAUCCUUUGCCUGGUUACCGGAAUAUGCACCAUCUCCCUGGUAAUAAGAGAAACCAAAGCACACUGCAGUUUCCACUGUACCUGAAUGGACUUCAGCUUCCUCAUUUUUCCUUCUUUAUUUCCCUAAUGACUAGGUUACCUCUCAUUACCACUCCCAACUUAAUUUGCAUGAUCACAUUAUAUGUAUGACAAUUUGAUUAGUUUUUUAAAAAUUAUAUUUUAGUUGUGAAUGGACACAAUACCUUUAUUUAUCUUUAUGUGGUGCUAAGGAUGGAACACAGUGCCUCACAUGUGCCAGGCGAUCACUUUAACACUGAGCCACAACCCCAGUCCCUCAUUAGUUUUUCUUCUACUUUUUUUGAAAGGCAAAUUAAAUUAAUGUUAGGAAGAUUCUUCUUAAAAGCCAAAAGUCACUUAGGAUGAAUUGUAUCCUUCCAAAAUGGGCAUGUAUCUGAUUACAAAGACCUCUGUGCAAAGAAAAAAAGAAGUCUUAAUCUUUUUGGAUCUAGUUUUAAUGACUCUACAAAUGAGACUUCUAUUUUUUCCUGUAGUGGAAAUAUCUGGUAAUAGGAAAUGAGAUUGAAGAUAACUAAUUCAACUUUGCAUAGUCAAAAAAUAAUAUCUACAAAAUCAGAAGCACCCUGAAGUCAGGGACAGAUUGUUUUUUCUCUGUAUCCCUUGAUGCUUGGCCCGGUGCCUGCAUCCUAAAAGUGCUAUGGAAAAUGCUUGCUGAAUUCAGUCUUAUUAAUUUUAUUCUUAUAAGAUUCUCUUCGUACCCUACAUUAAAAAAAUUAUAAUUCAGCAAUUUUCUCACUUUCUAGAGUUUUGGUAUCAAGUGUCUAUUUUUUUUUUCCUGCAGGCAAAGUAAAUAAUGAUCUAUGUUUAAGUUGUAAACAUUUUCAAACAAUUCAGAUUUUUAAGUCAAAAGGCAUAAGAGUCUACCUUUUUAUUGCUAAAAGUAAAGUAUAGAUUUGGACAUGGGUAUUAUUUUAUUUAUAUGUAAAAUGUGUUUUGAUUAUUCUAAGCUAUUUUUUAGAAUAGAGACAUUUAAGAUGACAUGGAAUAUGUAUAUAUAUAAAGUGCUCAUCAACACUAAAGGCUCUGGGAGCUGUUUUUACUGUUAUCCUUCCAGAUCUUUUGCUAUGCAUUUAUGCAUUUAAAAUCAGUUACACUGUGCAUAUUGAUUUGCAAUGUGUUUUUCACUCAAAAUAUGACAGAUAUAUUAAAGAUAAUCACAUGGUAAAUCUAUUUUUUGGACAUGCCAAAAUAUAUUUAAACUAACAAUUUUUUCUAAUUUUUUAAUAUUUUAAAUAAUUUGAGCUAAUACUUAGUUGGGUUUCUUUUCUACUGAAUUUCUAUAUUUAGAACAAUAGAUUUUUUUAUUGUUUCCUUGUCUUUAUUCCACCUUUGACUUAGUGACAAGAAUUUUCAUUUUUUAGUGGGAGUUUUCAGAAUCUGAUUCUGCAAUACUACUGCUUUACAGAGUCUUGAAGUAGGCAGAUGAGAAUUUUACAGAUGAAAGCUACCAGCCUGGGACCCAACAGCUAAAUUUUCCCAGUUCAUCUCCUACUUCUCUGCUUCUAUUGGUGCUGAACUCCCUCUCCUCUUCUACCUUCUCUCUUGAGCCCACCUCCUGUCUUGUCUCUGAUCAGGAAACUGGCCUGGCUGUCAUAUCACGUGCCUCACAAUGGGGCUGGGUUGUCAUCCAUCACUGCCCACAGUUGGCUGCUAGUUCAGCCAUGAAAUGGUCUACCUCCAGAAUGAGCUGGACCACAAAAUCACUGGGAGGUAAGUAACCAUGACCAACAUAUUCUUUUUAGUGUCCAAGUUAUUUCUUUUCUCUGGCUCCUAACCUGACUUGACCUGUGCUUUCCCUCUGUGCUAAAAUAUCACAUUUUAGAGACCCAGUUACAAAAUGGUACUAUGAGGAACUUCUUAGACCUGCUACCCAGCAAAAACAAAAAACAAGACAGAAAAAAUAGUUACUGGUAAAAAUUAUUAUUAUUUUUUUAAAUAGUAAUUUGGGUUGGGGCCAUAGCUCAGUGGUAGAGCACUUGCCUCACAUGUGUGAGACACUGAGUUCAAUCCCCAGCACCACACAAAAAUAAAUAAAUAAAAUAUAAUGUGUCCAUCUACAACUAAAAGAAAAAUUUAAAAAUUGAUCAUUUAAAGUCUCUGAAGAUUGCCAGAGGAUAUAUAGCAAAUGAAGAAAUGGAAAAAAAAACAAAAAACUAACUCUUGAAUAGUGAGAGUCUGUGAAUCUUAAAGUAUAACCUGCUUCCUGCCUCUCCCUGCCCUGAAUCCAGUGUGAUGAAAGAUCCACUUCAGAUUGGUGAAGUCAAAAAUAUGGGUCUUCCUCCUGUCACUCCAUUCCCAACUCUCUCUCCCAGAGUGCAGACUUCCAGCAUUUCUCAUUCCCUUCAGCUCCACAUUACAGAGGCUAAGUUCCAGGUAAGACCCAGAAGCACAAAUGACAAAAAAAUAAAUUGGACUGCAUCAUUAUUAACUUUUGGACUUUAAUGGACACCAUCGGAUGAUCUACAGAAUGGAAGAAAAUACUUGUAAAUAAUAUCUCUGACAAGGACUCCUUUCCUUGGUUCUUUUUGGCUUAAAAAGAAGUAUUAGCCAAGAAAAGGGAAGGUGUGCCUUCAGAGAGGAGAAGAAACCACAGCAAUGGAGACCUCCGACUCAGAGGUGGGGUACAGGUCAAAUUCAUUGCUAUUUAAGGCUCAUUUCUUGACAGAUUAUUUUUCCAGACAAGGUCUUCUGCAGAACUUGGACAGUUACAAAACACUCAAUUACGUGUCUCUGGCUCAUCAUUUAACAUUUAUUAAGUGCCCACUAUGCACGAGGAAUAGAGUUUAAUCCUAAAUUUAAAACAAGUGACUAAAAACUUCAGCUCUCAGACAAAUACAAUUAAAUUGCACACCUUGCUGGAUGUUAUCUUAUUUACCAAUUGGAGUGUAUUUACUCUGAGUGGACAAGGCUUAAUAGAUAACUGCUUGAUCUUUUCUCCCUCAUUCCCGGGCAGAGACUGGGAAUAGGGAGGGAGGAAGAGGGUGCCACUUGGGAGCUGAGUCAUGAAUGAGGUUUAGGCCUGUCCUUCGGCUUAUCAUCUUACAAGGUCAAUUCCCAAACCCAUCUCCUAGAGCUGCUUUCAUAAAGCACAUUACUUUCCAAGCCUUCCUCUCUCAUUGCCCAUCGGCUCUCAGCAGAUGGCUUGCCUCACACAGAGAUCAUUGAGGCCAUCUGCUAAGAAGUUGCUUCCUUCCCUACUUCCUAGCCAACACAUUGAUCUGCUUCUCCACCUCUCUCCUCCUCUCUGACUCUGAGGCUUCUCUCCCUACCAGCCUUGUUGAUCAGAUCACCUUUCAGCUCUUCUAGAGUCGAAGGAGGUUAGAUACUUGUCAGUCCAUAGGCAGAAGUCACAGAGAGUUACAAGCACUCUAGAAGAUUUCUUAAAUCACCCAAAACAGUGGGACAAAUGUUGGGACUACAAUCCUGCAAAGUAAUAUGUAGUUGUGAGUGUAUCAAAUAGAUAGCAAUAUAUACAUAUAAGAUAUAUAGAGAUAUAUACACUAUAACAAAUAUAGACUAUAUAAGGCAUAUAUGAUGUAUAGCAGGCAAUUCCAAAGAGGUUAUAUUAAGAAAAUAAUUAAGCUUCUUGGAACACUUAAUUUAUAAGUAUUCUGUUUUCCCAUUUGGUAUCAUCAUACAAAAGUUGUAGACAACUUCUGUUUCUCUGUAGUCUUUAGUUCUUCAGCUUCAUCUUCAUGAACAGUAAAGCCAUCACUACCCACCAGCGUGAACAGUGAAUUUCACUUUUCUGUGGUCCGGAAACCCCUUAGUCAUUCAUACCUCCUUUGGAAGCUUUCAUUAAGAGGUCUCUCUGCCUGAAUCCCUGCCUAUGGGCAACCUCCUUGAAUACAGUAGUUCCAGUAUUUCCAGUAUUAUUUAAAUAGUUGUUUUUCUCUUUCUUUCUCUGUCUUCCUCCCACUCCAUUAGAAGAUUAGACUUGGCUGCACAUAAGAGAAACCCAAAAUUGUAGUGGCUUAAGUAAGAGAGAAGUUUCUCUUAUACAACUCAAGAAGUAGGUGGUACCAGGUUGCUUUGGUGGCUCUAUGGUCAUCAGGGACCCAGGCUCCUUCUCCCCUUCUGUCGCACUAUUCUAGUUCAAGGAUUCCAUCCUUAGGGCUACUGCAGCUCUGGCCACUUCAUUUGUGUUCCAGUCAGAGGACAGAAAGGUGGUAUUCAGAAGAAGUAUGCAAAGCUUGGAAAUAAAGCAAAGGAUGACUGCAUGUCCUGCCAAUGUCAUCCUAGAACACUAUCCACAUACUCCCAAGGGUAACUCACUCUUGGGAAAGGGACCUACAUGUUAGUUACUCUCCAUUUGGGUUUAGACUCUAAGGACAACUGAUAAGAUGCAAAUGAAUUUUUCUCGGGAGAGAUGGCUUUAUAACCUUGAAGAGUAUGUGCCACUUUUGUA